UACGAAGGGGGCUAGCGUUGCUCGGAAUUACUGGGCGUAAAGCGCACGUAGGCGGGUCUUUAAGUCAGGGGUGAAAUCCUGGAGCUCAACUCCAGAACUGCCUUUGAUACUGAGGAUCUCGAGUCCGGGAGAGGUGAGUGGAACUCCGAGUGUAGAGGUGAAAUUCGUAGAUAUUCGGAAGAACACCAGUGGCGAAGGCGGCUCACUGGCCCGGUACUGACGCUGAGGUGCGAAAGCGUGGGGAGCAAACAGG
rnacentral:rRNA from 1 species